rnacentral:rRNA from 1 species
UACGGAGGGGGCUAGCGUUGUUCGGAAUUACUGGGCGUAAAGCGCACGUAGGCGGCUUUGUAAGUUAGAGGUGAAAGCCCGGGGCUCAACUCCGGAAUUGCCUUUAAGACUGCAUCGCUAGAGUUGUGGAGAGGUAAGUGGAAUUCCGAGUGUAGAGGUGAAAUUCGUAGAUAUUCGGAAGAACACCAGUGGCGAAGGCGACUUACUGGACACAUACUGACGCUGAGGUGGCGAAAAGCGUGGGGAGCAAACAGG